rnacentral:rRNA from 1 species
AUGAACGCUGGCGGCGUGCCUAAUACAUGCCAGUCGAGCGAACGGACGAGAAGCUUGCUUCUCUGAUGUUAGCGGCGGACGGGUGAGUAACACGUGAAUAACCUACCUAUAAGACUGGGAUAACUUCGGGAAACCGUAGCUAAUACCGGAUAAUAUUUUGAACCGCAUGGUUCAAAAGUGAAAGACGGUCUUGCUGUCACUUAUAGAUGGAUCCGCGCUGCAUUAGCUAGUUGGUAAGGUAACGGCUUACCAAGGCAACGAUGCAUAGCCGACCUGAGAGGGUGAUCGGCCACACUGGAACUGAGACACGGUCCAGACUCCUACGGGAGGCAGCAGUAGGGAAUCUUCCGCAAUGGGCGAAAGCCUGACGGAGCAACGCCGCGUGAGUGAUGAAGGUCUUCGGAUCGUAAAACUCUGUUAUUAGGGAAGAACAUAUGUGUAAGUAACUGUGCACAUCUUGACGGUACCUAAUCAGAAAGCCACGGCUAACUACGU